rnacentral:rRNA from 1 species
CAGCCGCGGUAAUACGGAGGGUGCAAGCGUUAAUCGGAAUUACUGGGCGUAAAGCGCACGCAGGCGGUCUGUCAAGUCAGAUGUGAAAUCCCCGGGCUUAACCUGGGAACUGCAUUUGAAACUGGCAGGCUAGAGUCUUGUAGAGGGGGGUAGAAUUCCAGGUGUAGCGGUGAAAUGCGUAGAGAUCUGGAGGAAUACCGGUGGCGAAGGCGGCCCCCUGGACAAAGACUGACGCUCAGGUGCGAAAGCGUGGGGAGCAAACAGGAUUAGAUACCCCUGUAGUCCCUGUCUCUUAUACACA